rnacentral:rRNA from 1 species
CCCUUAGAUGUUCUGGGCCGCACACGCGCUACACUGAUGCACUCAACAAGUUCCUUGACCGAGAGGGUUGGGCAAUCUUUUGAACAUGCAUCGUGAUAGGGAUAGAUUAUUGCAAUUAUUAAUCUUGAACGAGGAAUUCCUAGUAAACGCAGAUCAUCAGUCUGCAUUGAUUACGUCCCUGCCCUUUGUACACACCGCCCGUCGCACCUACCGAUUGAAUGGUCCGGUGAAGCCUCGGGAUUGUGACUAAUGCCUUUAUUGGUGUUGGUUGUAAGAACUUGUCUAAACCUUAUCAUUUAGAGGAAGGUGAAGUCGUAACA